GAUGAAGAACGCAGCGAAAUGCGAUACGUAAUGUGAAUUGCAAAUUCAGUGAAUCAUCGAGUCUUUGAACGCACAUUGCGCCCCUGGUAUUCCGGGGGGCAUGCCUGUCCGAGCGUCAUUACUGCCCUCAAGCCCGGCUUGUGUGUUGGGCCCCGUCCUCCGAUCCCGGGGGACGGGCCCGAAAGGCAGCGGCGGCACCGCGUCCGGUCCUCGAGCGUAUGGGGCUUUGUCACCCGCUCUGUAGGCCCGGCCGGCGCUUGCCGAUCAACCCCAAUUUUUAUAGGUUGACCUCGGAUCAGGUAGGGAUACCCGCUGAACUUAAGCAUAUCAAUAAGCGGAGGA
rnacentral:misc_RNA from 1 species